AGUGAACGCUGGCGGCGUGCUUAACACAUGCAAGUCGAACGCGAAAGUGUAGCAAUACAUGAGUAGAGUGGCGAACGGGUGAGUAAAAUGUGGGUAAUCUAGCUUUCAGAGGGGGAUAACCCGGGGAAACCUGGGCUAAAACCGCGUAACAUAUUGGGGUUUAAGGACCCUAAUAUCAAAACAUGGCCUCUAUUUAUAAGCUAUGGCUGAGAGAUGAGCCCACAUCCUAUCACGCUUGUUGGUGGGGUAACGGCCCACCAAGGCGACGACGGGUAGCUGGUCUGAGAGGACGAUCAGCCACACUGGCACUGCGACACGGGCCAGACUCCUACGGGAGGCAGCAGUAAGGAAUAUUGCGCAAUGGGCGAAAGCCUGACGCAGCGACGCC
rnacentral:rRNA from 1 species